rnacentral:rRNA from 1 species
UGGCGAACGGGUGAGUAAUACGUGAGUAACCUACCUUUAACUCUGGGAUAAGCCUGGGAAACUGGGUCUAAUACCGGAUACGACCAAUCUCCGCAUGGGGUGUUGGUGGAAAGCGUUAUGUAGUGGUUAUAGAUGGGCUCACGGCCUAUCAGCUUGUUGGUGAGGUAACGGCUCACCAAGGCGACGACGGGUAGCCGGCCUGAGAGGGUGACCGGCCACACUGGGACUGAGACACGGCCCAGACUCCUACGGGAGGCAGCAGUGGGGAAUAUUGCACAAUGGGCGCAAGCCUGAUGCAGCGACGCCGCGUGAGGGAUGACGGCCUUCGGGUUGUAAACCUCUGUUAGCAGGGAAGAAGAGAGAUUGACGGUACCUGCAGAGAAAGCGCCGGCUAACUACGUGCCAGCAGCCGCGGUAAUACGUAGGGCGCGAGCGUUGUCCGGAAUUAUUGGGCGUAAAGAGCUUGUAGGCGGUUUGUCGCGUCUGCUGUGAAAGGCCGGAGCUUAACUCCGUGUAUUGCAGUGGGUACGGGCAGACUAGAGUGCAGUAGGGGAGACUGGAAUUCCUGGUGUAGCGGUGGAAUGCGCAGAUAUCAGGAGGAACACCGAUGGCGAAGGCAGGUCUCUGGGCUGUAACUGACGCUGAGAAGCGAAAGCAUGGGGAGCGAACAGGAUUAGAUACCCUGGUAGUCCAUGCCGUAAACGUUGGGCACUAGGUGUGGGGAACAUUCCACGUUUUCCGCGCCGUAGCUAACGCAUUAAGUGCCCCGCCUGGGGAGUACGGCCGCAAGGCUAAAACUCAAAGAAAUUGACGGGGGCCCGCACAAGCGGCGGAGCAUGCGGAUUAAUUCGAUGCAACGCGAAGAACCUUACCAAGGCUUGACAUAUACUGGACC